rnacentral:rRNA from 1 species
CCUACGGGAGGCAGCAGUCGGGAAUCUUUCACAAUGGGCGAAAGCCUGAUGGAGCGACGCCGCGUGCAGGAUGAAGGCCCUCCGGUUUUUAAACGCCUUUCUAAGCGGGAAAUAUGAAGGUAACUUAUGCAUAAGGAUCGGCUACAUACGUGCCAGAGGCCGCGGUCACAGGUAGGCUGCGGGCAUUAUCCGGGGUGACUGGGGGUAGAGCGUGGGGUAGGUGUGAUAAUAAGUAGCUAGGGGAAUGUGGUGGCCUAACCAUGCAGACUACUAGCGAUACUGUGAUGCUAGAGACCGUUAGGGGGAACUGGAAUUUUUGGUGUAGGAGUGAAAUGCGUAGAUAUUAGAAGGAACACCAAUAGCGAAGGCAGGUUACUGGGACGGUACUGACACUAAGGCACGAAAGCGUAGGGAGCAAACGGGAUUAGAUACCCUAGUAGUC